AUGACACACAGCCUGGGCUGGAAACAGCAUCGCUUACUCCGCCCAGGUUUGAGCUUUCUCAGGACUGCGGCGUUUCAGGGGAUGUUGCACAACCACCUCCGGAACACCCGAGCGCGGCACCACCCCAAAGCCGGGCAGGGAUGCUCCAGAGAGGCAGCGCCUGCUGGCACCACGGAUCCAUCCCAGGGAUGCUCAUCCCACAGGCCUGAGCCCCAUUUCUCCCCUCUUGCAGCCCCCUGGGCAGAUGUUUUGGGACAGGGAGGGGCUGGGGUUUGGGGUUUGGGGUGCGGGGGGUUGUUGACGCCCCGAGCCCGUUCCUGCGGAUGUGCCUCUUGCAGCACCUUCCUGCGGCUGCGGCUGCGCCGGGGGGGGGGGGGGGGGGGGGGGGGGGUGCGGCUGCGCCUCCCGCCCGGAGCCUGCGGUUGGGGCGGGGGAUUUCCUGCCGUGCCAAUGCCACGAGGCCGGGACAACACCCAGGACAACACCCAGCAGCCCCCCGAGAGCCCCUCCGAGCAUCCUGGGGAUGGUGCAGAGAGGAGGAGCCCGGCACGAGGGUUGUGCAAAAACAUCAAGUCAGGCCCUCACCCUCCUCCUCCUCCUCCUCGUGUGCUAAGGCAUUUCCCGUGUGGAGGUAUCUCCGGGCACCCUGGCCCCCUCCCUGGCCAUGCCCACACCGUGCCCGGGGGGGUGGCAUCCCUGGCACCAGGUUCGCCGUCACUUCUGCUUUCGGAGCGACGCGAACCCCGGCGCGCAGCUGCUCCGUGGGGCCGCCGGCGGGGCCGAGCCGGGGGCCGUCACUUCUGCUUUCGGAGCGACGCGAACCCCGGCGCGCAGCUGCUCCGUGGGGCCGCCGGUGGGGCCGAGCCGGGGGCUCCCACCAGGGCAGGAAGCCCCUUUUUGGGGUGCAGCCCACACCCUGCCACUCUCCUCGAGGGGUGCCCGCAGUCCCCCAGCCCUCGGUGGCCCCGCUCUCGGCGUGACGUCCUUCCCCCCGCGGGCUCUGCAAACCGCAGCCGCUUUUCCGCGCUCGCUCCCCGCCCCGCCCGGCCGGAGGUGCAGGCGGACGGUGCCCACGACGCCCCAGCGGGUGGGUGCCGCUCCUGGGGCUGCCCCCGGCCCCCCGUGCCAGCCCCUCGCCGGUGA
rnacentral:lncRNA from 1 species